UUAGCUUUUUCGCGUCAUCGCGUUAUCGCGUUUUCGCGUUGGACUUUGUCGCAAUCCCACUUUCACAAGUGAAACGGGAUUUUCGCUCGUACCGAAACCGGGAGUGCCGUUUAAAGUAUAUAUAUAUUAAAUAUAUACAUCGCGCGACAAAACAGAAAAUUUUUAAUCGUAUCGAAUAGUGCGGGAGUGCCGUUCAGUAUCGCGCGUAAAAGUGCGAAAAUAGCGAUAUAAAAAUAUCGCACGUGAGUGCGGGAGUGCCGCUAAAAGUAUCACGCGUCUAACUGAGAGGAGGAGGAGGCCUAGGAGAGGCAUCAGGCUCCGGCAGAGCAACCUUCUGAUCGAUGCGAUAACCCUGAUGAUGCAACAAUCCUGAUGAUCUGAGAGGAGGAGCAGGCCUAGGAGAGGCAUCCUGCACCAGCGGAACAACCUGAUGACAACGAGCUUCGAUAAUAA